GCGCCUUGCCAGCCCGCUCAGAAACUUAAAGGAAUUGACGGGGCCGCACAAGCGGAGGAGCAUGUGGUUUAAUUCGAUGAUACGCGAGGAACCUUACCUGGGCUUAAAUGCUUAAUGACGUACUGGGAAACUGGUAUUUCUUCGGACAUUUUGCAAGGUGCUGCAUGGUUGUCGUCAGCUCGUGCCGUGAGGUGUCGGGUUAAGUCCCAUAACGAGCGCAACCCCUAUUGUUAGUUGCCAUCAGGUCAUGCUGGGGACUCUAACAAAACUGCCCGCGUAAGCGUGGAGGAAGGUGGGGAUGACGUCAAAUCAGCACGGCCCUUACGUCCAGGGCUACACACGUGCUACAAUGGCCGGUACAGAGGGCAGCCACUUGGUGACAAGGAGCAAAUCUCAAAAGCCGGUCUCAGUUCGGAUCGGAGUCUGCAACUCGACUCCGUGAAGUUGGAUUCGCUAGUAAUCGUAGAUCAGCAAUGCUACGGUGAAUACGUUCCCGGGCCUU
rnacentral:rRNA from 1 species